CAUGGGAAGCUACGGCUGGCAGUUCUGCCACGGAUAAGGUAGUGACACCUCUGCUUUGUAACCUCGAUCAAACUGCCCUAUACCGUGUGAAGAGAAACCGAAGACAUGAAGUUUCUGUUAAGCUAUAGCUUUUUGUUCGUGCUAUAUGAAAAACUUCACAGGUGCUCUGCCGGGGAUUCACCUAUCGACGCGACAAAUUUGCUGGAAGUUAAAACGCGAGUGAAGUAUAUUCUGGAUGAGAAAACGGCCCCUUUUCUUGGCAUAACCUCGGACUGUAUCACAGUGGAGAUGGUUAACAGUACCCCUCCAUACCUUGCAAUUGUGGACUACAUGAAAGAGUCGAAAUGGGAAACUUUAGUCUAUACAGGCACUCCAUCAACCUCUCGGAGCUCGCACCAACCGGCUGUUAUUUCCUUUACAACUUCAGAAAGCGACGCAACUGUUGAAUACCAGACACAUGAGCUUUUGCAAUUUGAUGGAUCAACUUGCUUCGUGCUAUCCGGCAUGUCAAGGCAAGAUAAAGUUUUGACUUCAACCCCAAAAAGGCAUAGCUUGCAACUGUUCUCCACUUAAUAAUAAUGGUGCUACCUUUGGAAAGUGCUCAAUCAAGAGGCCGAAGUGAAAACCUCAAAUUGCCCUGAAAAACCUAAAUCAAUUGAGGCUUGCAGCAGUGAAUUUGAAAAGUGCAAGGCAUAUAACAAUGCGCAAUGUUCUACUUGGCUCUGAUUUGUUCGCUAAUAAAUACGUCUAUGUGGCUUGUCAUACAACCACAGGG